CCUACGGGAGGCAGCAGUGAGGAAUAUUGGUCAAUUGCCGAGAGGCUGAACCAGCCAAGUCGCGUGAGGGAAGAAUGUCCUAUGGAUUGUAAACCUCUUUUGUCAGGGAGUAAAGUCACCCACGUGUGGGUGUUGGAGAGUAUCUGAAGAAAAAGCAUCGGCUAACUCCGUGCCAGCAGCCGCGGUAAUACGGAGGAUGCGAGGUUUAUCCGCCUUUAUUGGGUUUAAAGGGUGCGUAGGCGGGUUAUCAUGUCAGCGGUAAAAUCGUGGAGCUCAACUCCAUCCAGUCGUUGAAACUGAUGGUCUUGAGUGGGCGAGAAGUAUGCGGAAUGCGUGGUGUAGCGGGGAAAUGCAUAGAUAUCACGCAGAACUACGAUUGCGAAGGCAGCAUACCGGCGCCCGACUGACGCUGAAGCACGAAAGCGUGGGUAUCGAACAGGAUUAGAUACCCCUGUAGUC
rnacentral:rRNA from 1 species